rnacentral:rRNA from 1 species
GAACCGCAAGUGCUACGGGCUUAUGUAUCCGUACUGAAGACAGCUGAAAGCCAGAAGGUACAGACACAGAGCGUGCAGACACAGAGCAGGGCGCUGUACGUCGCUUGAGGAAGCAACGCAAGAGACCGGAUUCCAUCCUUGGAUCCGCCAGUAACCUCGCCUGACCACUCUCGGCAACGUCGAUCCUUGGCUUGCUCCGGCCGAGCAAGCAACGCGGCGGAUGGAGUAAGUAACCGCGGAUACUUGCCGCCUCCGUGCUCCCUCCAUGGCACUUGCCGCCGUGCCGCCAUGCCCUGCACCUCAAGCAAAGUGGCGCCCCGGCCCUCCUCUAAUGCCCCGCCCACUACCGGCCACAGCCUCCUCCUCCUCUUCCUCCUCCAGUCGCCACCACGUGCGCUGCCUGCCACCUGCUCCCCGCCUCGCCGGAAGACCAUGGCGGUGACUCCGCGCGGCCGGCCGGACUCCAGCCUCGGCCACCGCCGGCCGGUCCUCCUGCUCCUCCUCUUCUUCUGCCUCCUCGCCUUCUUCCCCCGCCGCGUCGCGGCUUUCCACUCAUUCGUGGGGACGUACGGGGUGAACUACGGCCGGAUCGCCGACAACCUGCCGCCGCCGACGGAGGUGGUGAAGCUGCUCCAGAUGGCGCGGAUCAAGAACGUCCGCAUCUUCGACUCGGACCACACCGUGCUGGACGCGUUCCGCAACUCCGGGCUCAACCUCGCCAUCGCCAUCCCGAACGGCCUCGUCAAGGACAUCUCCGCCACCCCGAGCAAGGCCAUGGACUGGGUGAACGAGAACGUGCGGCCCUACUACCCGUCCACGCGCAUCGUGGCCAUCAUCGUGGGCAAUGAGAUCCUGGGCGGGCAGGACACGGGGCUCGCCGAGGCGCUCUUCGGCGCCGUCGUCAACAUCCACGACGCGCUCCGCGCGAUGCGCCUGUCCGGCAGGAUCGAGGUGAACACGCCGCACUCGGAGGCGGUGUUUGGCACCUCGUACCCGCCCUCCGCCGGCACGUUCCGGCCCGACCUCAUGCCGUACCUGAAGCCGCUCCUGGACUUCUUCUCCAAGACGGGCGCGCCCUUCUACGUGAACGCGUACCCGUUCCUGGCCUACAUGAGCGACCCGGAGCACAUCGACGUGAACUACGCGCUGAUGAAGCCCAACGCCGGCAUCCUGGACCAGAAGACCAACCUCCACUACGACAACAUGUUCGAGGCCCAGAUCGACGCCACCUACGCCGCGCUGGAGGCCGCCGGGUACAGCGACAUGGAGGUGCGCGUGUCGGAGACCGGCUGGGCGUCCGCCGGCGAUGCCACGGAGCCCGGCGCCACGCUGGAGAACGCCCGGACCUACAACUUCAACCUGCGGAAGCGGCUGUUCCUGAGGAAGGGAACGCCCUACAGGCCCAAGAGGGUGGUCAAGGCCUUCAUCUUCGCGCUCUUCAACGAGGACCUCAAGACCGGCCCCGGGAGCGAGCGCCACUUCGGGCUCUUCAAGCCCGACGGCAGCGUCUCCCUCGACCUCGGCUUCAAGGGCCUCACCUCGUCGUCCUCCUCCAUCAAGGGGUGGAAGAUCGCGCGGUACUCGGCGACGCUCCUGUCAUCUACAUUCAUUUUCCUAGCAUUAUCGACCUGAUUGAUGAUUACUGACAAAUGCAGGCAGAUUAGCAAGCCUGCGUUUACUUAGAACACCAGAACUCGCCCGCAUUCUGUAAAUUCCACCACGAUUGAAAAGAGUGAUCCUCUCAUGUACAUCAAGUCUUCUGUUCUUCAAUCUUCGUAUACUGUAAAUAAUUAAGAUGCAUUUCUGAAUGAUCAUUUGUCAAACCGCGUGCUUCUUCAGAGUUCAGGGAGCUGCUUUCACAACAUAAACUUCAAGCGCUCCUUUUUUCUUCCAUGAUAAUUUGACAUCUCC